rnacentral:lncRNA from 1 species
CUUCUUCUUGUUGUUGUUGUUGUUGUUGUUGUUGUUGUUGUUGUUCUUGUUCUUGUUCUUGUUCUUGUUCUUCUUCUUCUUCCACUUCUUCUUCUUGUUCUUCUUGUGCUUCUUCUUCUUCUUCCUCCUCUUCUUCCACUUCUUCUUCUAAUUGCUUAGCUUAAUUUAGAUAACUUCUUUCUUAUUGUAUUCUUCUUCUAACUUCUUUCUCAUUAUGCACAUUUUGAUAAAGCAGCAUGGCAU